ensembl:lncRNA
AUGAGUUUGAAUCCUGUUCAGAAGACAGUGAAGAGGAGGAAGAUGCAGAAUUGUCAUGGACAGUCUCUAAGACAAAUCACCAGGACAGUGAUAUGGAGGCAAUGGUUGAGUAUUUGGAGAGUGUCCUGAAUAGCAGCUCUUUGGGCUCGAGGACUGUCACCAGAGUGUCUCCAGGGGUGCCCCAGGGAUUCAGAGCUCUCAACAGCACAAUGGCUGAGACCAAGCUGAAACGCAUGAGGGAGUAAGUAGCAUAUUUAUGUGUUACCAAUGUGCAGGCAAAGAAUAUGGAUUUGGAAAACUGCAAAGCACAGCAAAUAAAACCCAAAAAUCCCAUCAACAAAAAGAAGUGGAUGAUAAGGUGUUCAGAGACUUGCCUGCUUGCCUCCAGAGAGGAUGAAAACUGACCCUCCCUUCUGAUUGUUUUCUUGUAAGCUGCACAAUCACUGGCAUCCAUCCAGGAUCCAGUUUGCCUUCCCUG